AGGAGUUUAGGGUCGUCUGAUGAUAUUUUGGUAAAUUCAAGUGGUUUCACUUGCUUACGCUGGUUGGAGAGCUGGUCUUUAUAUGGUACCAAGUGGACAACUAUCUGCACAGAGCAGCACGUGUUGCUCUGCUGAAAACGUGGCAAGCAACUAAAUUUUCUCACAAUUCAGUGUUGACAGUUGUCGAUUUUGUCUCUCGCUUUGCUUUGAUCUGCUUGAUGUUGUCUUCGAACUGCUAUCUUGUUUCUAGCUUUCUCAACGUACUCCUCCAUUUUCCACUCUACUCUCUCCCUGCUCGGUUUAUGUGAGUUGCAUGUAUAGUUGUUAGGUAAUUUAUGUUUUUUCUAUUUUUGCCUUAAUCUUCUCAUCUUUUCUGCAGAUCCUCUAUAUUUACUAUUCUUAAUUUUUCAAUUUCUGAAAACACUGUUAGAUUAAAAUCGUUUAAAUCGGGUAAAGUAGUUGGCCCAUCAGUGUCUAUUUUAGUAUUUGGGGUGCAGGUUAAAAAUGGGUGAUUUUGGGAAGAUUUAUAUCUAUGUGCUUAUUUAUAGAAAGAGGAAAAUUCAAGCCCACAACUCACCUUAAAACUGUGUUGGCGAAGCGCAUAACUGAGCGGGGAGAAGACCGGAAGUGACAAAGGAAAAUGAAAGAGGAGUUCUAGCUACCUUCAGUAUGGACGUGGCAGAGUUGGGGGAAAAUACAGGCCAAAACAACUGCAGUUCUCAAAGUAUCCCUUUAUCUGAAAAUCUGUCAUGGGAGAAGAACGUGAGCUCUCUUCUUGAAAUAGAAAAAUGUAAAGAGAUGGCCAUAAGGUGUUUGCUCAUUUAUCUGAAUGAAUUAUUCCACCGUAUGGUUGUUCCUAUACUGCAAUUCUUAAUCUAUGCUACAUGUUGUUAAAAAAAAAGAGAAAAACUUGGAGUACAUUGGUUGAGACAAAUUUAGUGGUGAAUUUCCCAUAUGGUUGGAGCUUGUUAUCAGGCAAAAGAAUGCAUAUACGGUGGAAUACUCGGUAAAUUUAGUUUAUUGGUGUGUUAUGUCUUAAAAAUAUUUUAAUUCUUGAACAAAAGUACAAAAUAAGUACAUAACUUCUUACUGCUUCGUCAUAGAAAAUGUCGUU
rnacentral:lncRNA from 1 species